AGUUGGAGUCUUCAAGAGUUUUGGGUGGUCUGACACCAAUAUUCUCACCAUGUUGCAAAAGCUACCUUACUGUGUAGCCCUAUCAGAGGCACGAAUUCAGACUGCAUUGACAUUUUUGAUGAAGGAAGUCCGUUUCAAGUCUAUUUACAUAGCUUCUCGCCCUUCGCUUUUAACGUACAGUUUGGAGAAGAGACUAAUGCCCAGGUAUGAAAUCUG
rnacentral:misc_RNA from 1 species